GUCGCUGCUCUCAGAUCCUCCGAAAUCAAAAUUAAGACCAAUCUAAAGUCAAAAUUAGAUCGAUCUAAAGUCAAAAUCAGAUCGAUCCAAAGCUCAAAUCAAGGCCAAUCUGAAGUUAAAAUUAGACUGAUCCAAAGUCUAAAUCAAGAUCAAUCUGAAGCUCAGAUUAAGAUCAAUUUGAUAUCAAAGUCAGACCAAUCUGAAGUCAAAAAUCAGAUGGAUCCAAAGUCAAAAAUAAAUCUGAUCCAAAAUCAAAAUCAAAACGAUCCAAAGCAAAGAUCAAAGGCCGAUCUAAAAUCAGAAUAUCAAGGAUGAAUCAAGGCAUAUAACAAAGGUAAAACCGAAGCAAAAACAAGGCCAAAUUGAGGCAAAGGUCAAGUCCAAAUGAAGCAAAUAACAAGAA
rnacentral:lncRNA from 1 species